rnacentral:lncRNA from 1 species
UGGAAAUUCUGAUUGGGGGUCAUUUUACCAGUCAGCUGACAUGGACUCUUACAAAAAUCAAGACCACGAAAAUUGGAAAGGGGCAAUGGUCAAAAUUAGAGGGAGUAACUGAUAUGUGGCUAUUGUUUUACCCUGUUUAAAGCCAAUCUCCUGGGACAACACACCCCAUUUUGUGGGGCACCCCGAAAGUAAUAAUCCUGUUUUAAUCUUCCUAAGCCUUGGAGAGCCUGGCCCCAAACCAGCCCAGGCCAACCCUACCUGCUCUGUAGAGAGUAGAACAGCAAGAAAGGGAGGUGCUACCCAGGACCACAGCAGAGGGACCCUGUCGCCAGGGAGAUGACAAUCACAGUGAUGCCACCACCAUAUCCACGUAUGAGGCAUAGUCCAGUGUGUCUCCUGGAAGAAGAUGAAGCAUGGG